rnacentral:tRNA from 1 species
GGGACUGUAGCUCAGUCGGAUAGAGCGGUCGCCUGAAGAGCGACAGGUCAGGGGUUCGAUCCCCCUCGGUCCCAC